rnacentral:rRNA from 1 species
UUUUCAAAAACAUUUCUUUUAGUUAAAUUUUAAAAGUAAUUUCUGCUCAAUGAUUUUUUAAAUAGCCGCAGUAUUUUGACUGUGCAAAGGUAGCAUAAUAAUUAGUUCAUUAAUUGUGAGCUGGAAUGAAUGGAUAUAUGAAAUACUGUUUUUAUUUUUUUUAGUGUUAGAAUUUUAUUUCUAGGUUAAAAAGCUUAGUGAUUUUUUAGGGACGAUAAGACCCUAUAGAGGUUUAAUUUUGUUUUUAUUUUAUAGUAUUUUUGUUUAUAUGGUUAAUAUAAAUAUAUUUCAAUUUUUUUUCUGGGGCGGAAGAUAAAUUUGAACUUUAUUUAUUUAUUUCAUUAAUUUAUGAUUAUUUUUGAUCCAUGUUUAAUAUUUAAUAGAUAUGAUUAUAAGGUAAGCUACCUUAGGGAUAACAGCGUAAUUUCAAUGGGGAGUUCUUAUUUAUAUUGAAGUUUGCGACCUCGAUGUUGAAUUAAGAUUAGAUUUUGGGGUAGUUUUUAAUUUUCUAAGUCUGUUCGACUUUUAAAUUCUUACAUGAUCUG